GGUGGGAUGCGAGAGUGGCUUAUUCGGCUGGUUUCGAAAACCAAGCGAGGCGUAAGUCUCACGCAGGUUCAAAUCCUGCUCCCACCG
rnacentral:tRNA from 1 species